GCUCGUGUCUUUGAACCUAUGGUAUGAAAACACCAUAGCGCGAAUGCGUCAGUACGAUUGAAUGUACUGGUGUGAAUGUGAGGUAGACUAAAUACAUGUACAAUAAUAAUAAUAUCUGACUGACUAUCAUGAGCAUGAGAAUACAUGUAUGAGAUGUAAUAACUGACACUAGUACCAUGAAUACAUGAUGACUGAUAUAACUGAUAGCAUGAGUGACUGUAGCUGACAAUCCUGAAUCUGGAGGAACUAUCUAAGUUCCUUACUAAACUGAGCUGACUAUAUCUAACAGCCCUGAAAUCUAAAGAACUAUCUGAGUUUUUUUACUGAGACUGAUACUGAAACUGUGGGAGGUAGUAUUUAACCAACACACCCCUAGUACACCAUUAUGGCUAAGUUAUGGUCCAAUCUAUAACCCUAAUUAGAAGGGUGUCAUUACCGCACCACUAGUAAAGACAAGCUAUGGUGACCCUGAUCUGAUAGUGUCCCCAAAAAAAAUAGUGGGGCCCUUACCUGACAGUGCUUAUCCACCUCAUCAACCCUCAUCGGACAAUGUUGAUGUCUCAACCUAUGCUGGCUACAUAGUUCUAGAAUACAAGGAUGACUUCUAAGGAUCACACCCUUAUCUGAUAGUGUGUGUCCCCAUCCUUGGGUUUACUCGGUAUUCCUACUCCCAUAUGAAUGGACACUGAACAUGAUUUACUGAACUGAACAUGAGCUGAGUUACUAAGUUUCGUUGACUAACGAAAGAUUGCUGAUAUCUGGCAACUGACUAAGUCAUGAGAUCAUGGAAAUUUUUCUUGAGUCAUAAGACUGUCUAAAGUCUAAGAAUUCAUAGCUUGACUGAGAGUAUCAUGAAAACAUAACAUGGCUCUAGGCAGACAACUAAGGUUUCGGGUACACGUACUCCCAGGACUCGAUGGAAAGAAACUGACUUAGCAUAACUUACUUGAGCACAUGACUAGCAUCAUAAUUCAUAAUAUAUUUCUUAAAGCAUUUCUGCAAACAUGUAAUAGGCAUGAACCUGUACAUACAUGGGGAUUUAAUGAUAUCAUGCUAGUUAAGCAAUUUUCCUUAAUAUAGGCAUUUAAUCAAACUCAUGGUGGACAUAGUAUAUGUAAACAUCAUGUUUCAACAAUUAAACAUCAUGGUUCAACUCUAAUUACACCAUUCAAGUGUUAAAUCCUAGGUUUGUAUGAAUUCAUAUCUAUACUAAUCAACCCACAUGAAAUUUAUCACCAAAUCAUGGAAUAGAAUUCAAUUAUUCAUUUAUAACAUGAACACGAACAGCCAAAUCAUGAAAACAUAAAGAAAAUCCAAAAUCUUGAAUUUAGAAAAGGAUUCUUGGACUUCAUGGAUGAAAGGGGUCCAUGAAUAAACACCAUGCAUACCUUAAUUUGUGAUUUCAUGAAGAUUGACGAAGAGUUCUUGUGGAUUUGUCCCUUGGAUUUGAGAGCUAGGGUUCUUGCUUUUGAAAGGGGAUCUUGAUUUGUGAUAGAAAUUGAAUAAUGAUAACUAUUUAGGUCACCAAUAGAUUAAUUCUCGUGUUUUAGGUUAACUAGGGCCAUGGAAAAAGACCCAAAUACCCUUGAACAAAUUUUAAAAUGGAAACUGGGAACUGAAAAUCCCGAUUUUUGGCCUUGGUGCGACGCGCCACUAUCAUGCUGAGCCACUGAAAAUUGACAACUGGAUCUUGGGACCUUGGCGCGAUGCGGAUUCAAUUGUGGUGCCCUUUUGAUUCUAGUUUACACCCUUGGCGCGAUGUGUUGGGACCACGGAGCAACACUGGAAAAGGAUGAACGUCAUUUUGGCUUAUGACACGAUGUGCCAUAGACUGGAAUAAUGGUGUUCUAUGAAUGAUACAUUAAAUUUCCAUAACUUUUUAUCCGGUUGUCGGUUUUAGGCGAAUCUUAUAUCGAUGAAAAGCUUAUGGAAUUUCCCACAUGACAAAAAGUGAAAAUCUUGAAAAUUCCUUGAGGAAUAAUCAUCAUUCACUUUAGAAGCUAAUACUAGGCAUUCAUGGGAUGAAAUUAUCUAGAAAAAUUUAGGGUAUUACAAAUACAAAACCCUAACAACUGUAAUACCCUGUACUUUUUCCUAGCUUGAAAAUCAUCUUAAGUAUGUUAAAAACUUGCCUUAAAAUAUGAAACUACUUUUUUACAUUGGUAUUUCUAAUAUUUUCAAUUUUUGUCAUGUGGGAAAUCGAAUAAGUUUUCCAUCGAUACCAAUUUUAUCGAAAUUUGGUAACGGAUGAGGAAGUUAUAGCCAUUUUACAGAAGGCAGUCAGAAUCGUCCAGGCGCGACGGUGAAGGCCGACGGACCGUCGCAUCAAGGAAGUAAGUACACUCUCUGGAUGAGUGUGAUGGAGAUUCCUGAUGGACCGUCGCACCCCACCGUCAUACCAAGUUAGUGAGUCCCAGUUCUGGUCUCAGUUCGACGGUGAGUCCGACAGACCGUCGCACCCCACUGUCGCAUGUCCCGCUCAGUAUUUUUAAAUCAUUUUUAAAGGGGUAUUUUGGUAUUUUACCACCCGUAUAUAUUACCAAUUAUAUCUGACCUCAGCUCAUUUGUUUAUUAUUAUUUCACAACAACAAAAUUAGGGUUUUCUCUCUAAGAUUAAUCCCCAAGAAUAAAAUCUAAAUCUUCUCCAAGAACUAAGAGAUUUAAAUUCUUCAAGUUCAAGAACUUUAUGAAACUCAUUACCAGGUAUGCAUAGUAUUCAUUCAUGGACUCCUUUCGUCCAUUAAGCCCAAGAAUCUCCUUUCUAAGUUCAUGUUUAUGGAUUUUCUUUAUGAAUUUCAUGUUGGGUUACUCUUGUUCAUGUUGAUAAUGAGUAAUUGAAUUCUAUUCCAUAUUGGAUGAUAAAUUUUAUGUGGAAAUUGAUUAGUAUAUAUGUAGAUUCAUGUGAACCUAUGAUUAAACCCUUGAAUGAUGAAAUUAGAACAGAAUCAUGAUGUUUAAAUUCUUGUAUAAUGUUGCCUACACAUAAUAUGCCUACCAUGUGUUUGAUUAAAUGCCUAUAAAGGAAAAAUGCCCAACUAGUAUGAUAUUAUGAAAUCCCUAUGAAUGUACAAGUUUAUGCAUAUCACAUAUUUGAUGAAAUGCUUCAAUAAAUAAAUUAUAGAUUAUGAUGUUAGUCAUGUGUUCAAGUAAGUCAUGCUUUGUCAGUUUCCUUCUAUCGAGUCCUGGGGGUAAUUGUACUCGAAAUGUUAGUUGUGUACCUAGAGUCAUGUCAUGUUUUCACGAUACUCUAAGUCAAUCCAUGAUCCUUAGACUUUAGACAGUCUUAUGACUCAGGAAAUCUUAAUAAUCUCAUGAACUUAGUUAGUUGUCAGAUAUCAAUAGUAUUCCAUCAGUCAACAAGAUUCAGUAACUCCGUCCAUGUUCAGAUCAGUUAAUCAUGUUUAGAGUCCAUUCAGAUGGAGUUGGAAUUAGCAUUGAGUGAACCCAAGAAUGGGAACUCACCUGCUAGUUGAGGGUGUGAUUAUUAGGAGUAGUCCUUGCAUUCCAGAACUAUGUAGCCAACGUAGAUUGAGACAUCAUACCUGCUAGUUGAGGGUAGAUGAGGUGGCUUAACCUGCUAGUUGAGGGUUCCCACUGUUCUCAUUAGAGUAACCUGCUAGUUGAGGGUCACUCACAUCUUCUCCUUACCAGUGGUGCGGUAUUGACAUACUUCUAAUUAGGGCACAGAUUAGACCCCCGCUCAGCUAUUAUAGUAUAUUCGGAGCAUGUCAAUUAGAUAACUACUUUCCAUAAUUUCAGUAUCAGUCUCAGUAAAAGAGCUCAGAUAGUUCUUCUAUUUUUAAGAUUAUCAGAUACAGUCAACUCAGAUACAGUACGGAACUUAGAUAUUUCUAUCAGAUUCAGGACUGUCAGAUACAGUCACUCAUUCUAUCAGUAUUCAGAUUCAGUAAUCAUGUUAUCACGGUAUCAAUGUCAGUUAUUAUGUCUCAUGUAUGUAUUCUCACACUCAUGAUAGUCAUUCUAUUAUUAUUAUUAUUCAUGCAUAUGAAACCCAUGCAUUUAGCCUACUUUACAUGUAUACCAGUACAUUCAGUCGUACUGACACAUUCGUGCUAUGGUAUUUUUUACCAUAGGUUUAGAGACACGAGCUCCAGAGCAUCAGUAGCAUUCCAGUCUCAACAGGCAGAGUUAAAAGUGAGUCGUCAUCCUUUGAGGACAUGAUCAUUACUUUAUUAUGUCAUUAAUUAAUUUAUUGGUUAGGAGUUAGUUAAGGACAUGUCCCAUCAACUCCUUACUCAAAUAGUUCAGUUAGUUAGAGGCUUUUCAGACUAUUAUGUUCAGUUAGUUUAUUUCAGUUGUUUUGGGUAUUUCAUUCCCCAUUUAGAAGUUAUACUUUUUAUCAGGUAUUAUGUUAUAGUUUGAACCUUAUGGCCUUUCAGUUCAUGUUUCCACAUUAUACAAUUUUUUAUGCAGUAUACAGGUACAAAUAUAAGUCAUGGGUUAGCUUGUGGUCCUUCGGGGUCAUGACCACCGUGUAGCAUUCUGAAUACCAGAUUUAGGGCAUUAAAAACUUGGUAUCAGAGCCUAAGGUUCAAUAGUUUCCUAGUAAGUCUGAAAGCCAUAUCUGGUAGAGUUUUGUAAAUGGGUGUGUAGCGUGCCACAUUUAUGUGCAGGAGGCUAUAAGAUAUUUUAGGAACAGUUUUCCUUCUUUCAGUGUUUAUAUUGUGCCAGUGAGCAUAACCUCAAUUUAAUUUUCCAGUCUAAUCUGUUUCUCUCUUUCUUCUAUAUAAUAUGCCUCCUAAAAGAAGAAACGAGAAUCAGUCAGCCCCUUAGCUCAAAGAACCUUUGGGCAAAUAUGUUUCUUAUGCAGUGUUCAGGGCCGCAUUCACUACUCUUGCUCAGCCAGUUUCUGCUCAGAAUGAAUGAUCAGAUAUCAUUCCAUCCAACCCAGUGGCCAAUUCAGCUGCAUCCUAGAUUUGGGACUUCACCUGAAUGAAUCCUCUAUCCUUUCUCGGGUUUAAGUCAAACGAGGACCUUCAGGAAUUCCUAGAUUAGGUGCAAAAGGUUACAAACAUAAUAUGGGUUACUUUUAGUGAUAUUUCUAAGCUAGAUGCAUAUCAGUUGCAGGAUGUUUCUCAUACUUGGUUCAAGCAAUGAAAGUCAGAGAGAGCAGUAGAUGCAGGGUUAGUUGAGUGGGAGGAUUUUGUUUCUGCUUUCCUUGAUAGAUUCUUUCCCCGUGAUCUUAGAGAACCCAAGGUGUUAGAAUUCAUUAACCUCAGGCAGGGCAAUAUGACGGUGAAAGAGUAUUCUCUUAAGUUUACUCAAUUAUCUAGAUAUGCCCCUAUGUGGUUGUAGAUAGUAGGGCAAGGAUGAGUAAGUUCAUUUUAGAGGUGAAUGAUAGCGUGGUUAGUGAGUGUAGAUCCGCCAUGCUGAAUAGUGACACGACUUUAGCCAGGCUUAUGACAUAUGCUCAGCAGAUAGAGGAGCAAAAGAUUAAAAUAAGGGAGAAACAGAAUAAGAGAGCAAGGACAGGUAGUUUCAACUUUUCUCAACCCAAGUCAAAAGGAGGAAACCAUUCUUAGUUUUGUCCUAAGUCAUUAGUCCCAGCUCUUUUUUCAGCCAGUGCUCCAGUUCCUAAGUUCAGAGAGAGUAACAAGGAUAAAUCUCCAGGCUCUAAGUCUAAGGGCAGUAUUAGCAGUGCCCAUAACUAUCCCCUUUGCUAAACUUAUGGGAAGCACCACCAGGGUACUUGCAGAGCUGGCAGUGAUACCUAUUUUGAUUGUGGCCAGCCAGGCCAUAGAGUUAGAGAUUGCCCACAGUCAGGUCCUCUGGGUCAAUAGAAUCACUCCUUAGCUCAGUCUAGCCACCCAAGUCAAUAAGGUGCCACCUCUAGUGCUACUAGUGGGCAACACCCAAACAGACUCUAUACUCUCCAGUCCUGACAAGAUCAGGAAAAUUCUCCUGAUGUGGUUGCUGGUACUUACAGAUCUUUUAUGUUCAUGUUUACACUUUGCUAGAUCCAGGAGCUUCUUUGUGUUUUGUUACUCCCUAUAUAGCGGGUGAUUUCAAAGUCAGUCCUGGAAUUCUAGUAGAUCCCUUUUCAGUCUCUACCCUAGUGGGUAAAACCAUCAUUACCUAGCGAUUAUACAAAAACUGCUCGAUUAUGAUAAUUCAAAAAGUCACUUCUAUAGACUUAGUCAAAUUAGAGAUGACUGAUUUUAAAGUCAUUCUCGGCAUGGAAUGGCUUUAUUCCUGCUAUGCCACAGUCGACUGCUGAAAGAAAAUAGUCCAGUUUCAAUUCCCAAAUAAACCCGUCCUUAAGUGGAAGGGAAGUGUAUCCGCUUUCAGAGGUCAGCUUAUUUCCUACCUUUAGGCAUAGAAAAUUAUAUCAAAGGGAUGUGCCUACCAUCUUUCUCAUGUUAGGGAAUCUAGCUUCGAAACUCCCAAUCUUGACUCAGUCCCAAUCGUGAAUGAAUAUUCAGAUGUCUUUCCCGAAGAUCUUCCAAAAAUUCCUCCCGAAAAGGAAAUAGACUUCGGUAUUGAUCAUCAUUCGGAUACUUAGCCUAUAUUUAUUCCACCAUACAUAAUGUAACCAACAAAAAUUAGAGAAUUGAAAGAACAGUUGAAAUAUCUCUUAGAUAAGGGAUUCAUCAGGCCCAGUGUACCUCUGUGGGGCGCACCAGUCUCAUUCGUGCGCAAAAAAGAUGGUUCUCUCAGAAUAUGCAUUGAUUACCACAAGCUUAAUAAAGUCAUAGUCAAGAACAAGUAUUCUCUUCCCAGAAUUGAUGACUUAUUUGACGAAAUUCAGGGUGCUAUCUAUCUAUCUAAGAUAGACCUUAAAUCCGACUAUCAUCAGCUUAGAGUCAGAUAAUAUGACAUUUCAAAAAUAGCUUUCCGUGCUCGGUAUGGUCACUUUAAAUUCUUAGUCAUGUCCUUUGGUCUUACUAAUGCCCCCGCACCUUUUAUGGACUUAAUGAACCGUGUGUUUAAAUAGUACUUAGACAUGUUCGUCAUAGUCUUCAUAGAUGAUAUUCUGGUCUAUUCCCACAGUGAGCGUGAUCAUGCAGACAACCUCAGGACAAUAUUUCAAACUCUCAAAUAUCAUCAACUAUUUUCCAAAUUUAGUAAGUGCAAAUUUUGACUAAGGUCAGUAGCAUUCCUUGGUCAUAUCAUUUUCGAUUAUGGCAUUAAAGUAAAUCCUCAAAAGAUCGAAGCAGUAAGAAACUAGCCUCACCCUAUCUCUUCAUCAGAUAUCAGGAGUUUCUUGGGUUGGAUGGCUAUUACAAAUGGUUAGUUAAAGGAUUUUCUUCUAUCUCAUCCCCUAUGUCCAGAUUGACUCAAAAGAAAGUCAAGUUUCAAUGGUCAGAUUAUUGCGAGAAGAGUUUUCAAGAUUUGAAGACUUGACUCACCUCAGCUCCAGUCUUAGCUCUUCUAGAUGGUUCAGAGGGGUUCGUAGUGUAUUGUGAUACAUCCAGAGUGGGUUUAGGUUGUGUCCUCAUGCAACAUGGUAAGGUCAUAGCCUACACUUCCACACAGCUUAAACUCCAUGAGAAGAAUUAUCCUACUCAUAAUUUUGAGUUAGCAACCAUAGUUUUUGCCUUAAACAUUUGGAGGCAUUAUCUAUAUGGUGUUUAUGUUUAUGUGUUCAUAGAUUAUAAAAGCCUUCAGUAUGUUUUUUCUCAGAAAGAUUUUAAUCUUCAUCAAAGAAGGUGGUUAGAGCUCUUGAAAAAUUAUGACAUGAGUGUCCUUUAUCAUUCGGGUAAGGCUAGUGGCCGAAACUCUUAGUAGACUGUCUAUGGGUAGUGUAGCGCAUGUUGAGGAUAGUAAGAAGAAUCUUGCUCAAGAAAUCCAUCAGCUUGCCAAACUAGGUGUUCGCUUAGUCGAUAAAGAAGAGGGUGAUAUAUGGGUUCAGAGUAGUUCAGAAUCAUCUCUAGUUUCCAAGGUGAAAGAAAAGCAAGAUAGAGAUCCCAACCUUUUUAAGUUGGAAGAGUCAUUCUAGGAUCAGAAAGUAGAGCUUUUCUCCCAAGGGGGAGAUGGUGUUCUUCGUUGUCAGGGUCAUCUCUGUAUUCUAGGUAUAGAUGACUUGAGGCAGCGAAUUCUUGCAGAAGUGCAUGGUGUGCGUUACUCUAUUCAUCCAGGGGCCAUUAAGAUGUACCGUGACUUGCGGGAGAUCUAUUAGUGGAGUGAGAUGAAGAGAGAUGUUGCAGGGUUUGUGGCUAAGUGCUCUACAUAUCAGCAGAUUAAGAUAGAGCAUCAGAAGCUUAGUGGUCUAUGCAAGAGUUCAUAAUUCCUACUUGGAAUUGGGAAGUAGUGAACAUGGACUUCGUGACGGGUUUGCCUUGAACUCGUCAUCAGCAUGAUUCAGUUUGAGUCAUUGUGGACAUAAUGACCAAAUCAGCCCAUGUCCUUCCAGUUCAUACCUCUUAUUCAGCCGAGGAUUAUGGCAAACUCAACAUCAGGGAGUUGGUCAGACUGUAUGGUAUUAUGCUAUCUAUUAUCUCAGAAAGGGGUACUCAGUUUAUCUCUCACUUCUGGAAAGUGUUCCAGAAGGGUCUUGGUACCCAAGUUCAUCUCAAUACAACCUUCCAUCCUUAGAUAGAUAGUCAAGAAGAAAAGACCAUUCAGACUUUAGAAGAUAUGUUAAGGGCGUGUGCAAUUGAUUUCAAAGGUAGUUGGGAUGACCACUUGCCUUUGAUUGAUCUUGCAUACAACAACAACUAUCAUUCCAGUAUUUGGAUGGUUCCAUUUGAAACUCUCUAUGGUAGGAGAUAUAGAUAUCUGAUUGGUUGGUUCAAAGUUAGUGAGGCCUCAGUCAUAGGUCCAGACUUGGUAUUCGAUGCCUUAGAGAAGGUCCAGUUGAUUAGAGAAAGACUCUGGGUUGCUCAGAGCUAACAAAAGUCUUAUGCAGAUAUUCGUAAAAAGGAUCUCGAGUUUGAGAUUGGUGAUUAUGUCUAUCUAAAGAUCUCUCCCAUGAAGGGAGUGAAGCGGUUUGAAGAAAAGGAAAAGCUCAAUCCCUGAUAUGUCGGUCCCUUCAAGAUUCUCAGUUGAUUUGGCAAGGUAGCUUAUGAUCUUGGAUUGCCUUUAGAUCUAGCCUCAAUUCAUCCAGUCUUCCAUGUGUCAGUGCUCAAGAAGUAUAUAGGUGACCCAGUAGUUGUAGUCCCCAUUCAAAUCAUAGAUGUUCAGAAUAGCUUCUAUUACGAAGAGAUCCCAGUCAAAAUCCUAGACUAUCAGACUCGUAGACUGAGGAACAAAGAAGUCCCUCUAGUCAAAGUUCUUUGGCAAAAUUAGUCCGUUGAGGGAGCUACUUGAGAAGCAGAAGCAGACAUGCGUACCAAGUAUCCUCACCUCUUCUCCACCAACUCAAAUCAAGCUUAAGGUAAUAGUUCUCCUUAAGCUUUUAAGUUUCAUGUUCAGACUUCAGUUAUAAGCUUGGUAUUCAGUUCAUGCUUAAAAUCUCAUUAUAAACUUGGCAUUAAAUGCCAUUGCAUAGUUCAAUCAUACAUUUAUGUAUUAGUUCAAUUAUAUAAUUGUGCAUCGGAUAUGUAUUCUCAUUGUAAGAAACUUGGUUCCUCAAAACACUCAGUCAUGCAUUCAUGAAUCAGUUACUCAUACAUCAUAUAUGAAUGUUCAGUAUGAUAUGUUCAAUUUAUUAGUCAUGUCAGUCAUGAGAUCUUGUUCCAGUUAUUCAUGUUCAGUAUGUAUGUCAGUUUAUGUUCUUUCCUUCAUUCUCUAUCUCAUUCGAGGAUGAAUGUUCUCAAGGAGGAGAUAUUGUAAUACCCCGUACUUUUUCUAGCUCGAAAAUCAUCCUAAGUAUGUUAGAAACUUACCUUGAAAUAUGAAUCCACUUUUGUACACAUGGUAUUUCUAAUAUUUUCACUUUAUGUCACAUAAGAAAUAGAGUAAGCUUUCCAUUGAUACUAAUUUCAUCAAAAUCCGGUAUCGGACAAGGAGGUUAUGGCCGUUUUAUAGAAGGUAGUUAGAACUGCCCAGGCGCGAUGGUGAAAGCCGAUGGACCGUUGGACUAGUGACGGACCAUCGCACCCCACCGUCGCAUCAAGGAAGUAAGUCCACUCUCUAGAUGAGUAUGACGGAGAGGCCUGAUAGACCGUCAAGCUAGCGAUGGACCAUCACACCCCACCGUCGCACCAAGGAAGUAGGUCCAGUUUGACGGUGAGUCCGACGGACCGUUGGACUAGCGACGGACCGUCGCACCCAACCUUUGCAUGUACCGCUCAGUAUUUUUAAGUCAUUUUUAAAGGGGUGUUUUGGUCUUUUACCACCCGUUUAUAUACCAGUUAUAUUCGACCUUAGCUCAUUUGUUCAUUAUUAUUUCACAACAACAAAAUUAGGGUUUCUUCUCUAAGAUUAAUCCCCAAGAAUAAAAUCUGAAUCUUCUCCAAGAACUAGGAGAUUCAAAUUCUUCAAGUUCAAGAACUUCAAGAAACUCAUUACUAGGUAUGCAUAGUGUUCAUUCAUGAACUUCUUUCGUUCAUGAAGCCCAAGAAUCUCCUUUCUAAGUUCAAUUUUAUGGAUUUUCUUUAUGAAUUUCAUGUUGGGUUGCUCUUGUUCAUAUUGAUAAUGAGUAAUUGAAUUCUAUUUCAUGUUGGAUGAUAAAUUUUAUGUUGAAAUUGAUUAGUGUAGAUGUAUAUUCAUGUGAACCUAUGAUUAAAUCCUUGAAUGAUGAAAUUAGAACAGAAUCAUGAUGUUUAAAUUAUUGUAUAAUGUUGCCUACACAUACUAUGCCGACCAUGUGUUUGAUUAAAUGCCUAUGAAGGAAAAGUGCCCAACUAGUAUGAUAUUAUGAAUCCCUAUGUAUGUACAAGUUUAUGCAUAUCACAUGUUUGACGAAAUGCUUCAAUAAAUAAAUUAUGGAUUAUGAUAUUAGUCAUGUGUUCAAUAAGUCAUGCUUUGUCGUUUCCUUCUACUGAGUCCUGGGGGUACUUGUACUCGAAAUGUUAGCUGUGUGCCUAGAGCCAUGUCAUGUUUUCACAAUACUCUCAAUCAAGCCAUGAUCCUUAGACUUCAGACAGUCUUAUGACUCAGGAAAUCUCAAUAAUCUCAUGAACUCAGUCAGCUAUCAGAUAUCAGUAGUAUUCCGUCAGUCAAUGGGAUUCAGUAACUCAGUCCAUGUUCAGAUUAGUUAAUCAUGUUUAGAGUCCAUUUAGAUGGGAGUAGGAAUUAAUACCUAGUGAACUCAAGGAUGGGAACUCACUUGCUAGUUGAGGGUGUGAUUCCUAGGAGCAGUCCUUGCAUUCCAGAACUACGUAGCCAGCAUAGGUUGAGACAUCAUACCUGCUAGUUGAGGGUAGAUGAGGUGGCUUAACCUACUAGUUGAGGGUUCCCACUAUUUUAAUUAGAGUAACCUUCUAUUUAAGGGUCACUCACAUAUUGUCCUUACCAGUGGCGCGGUAUUGACACCCUUUCAAUUAGGGCUCAAAUUGGACCCCAGCUCAGCUAUUAUAGCACAUUUGGGGCAUAUUGGUUAGAUAACUACUUUCCACAGUUUCAGUAUCAGUCUCAGUAAAAGAACUCAGAUAGUUCUUCUGAUUUCAGGACUGGCAGAUAUAGUUAACUCAGAUACAGUACAGAAGUCAGAUAGUUCCAUUAGAUUUAGGACUGUCAGAUAUAGUCACUCAUGUUAUCAAUAUUUAGAUUCAGUAAUCAUGUUAUCAGUGUCAGUUAUUAUAUCUCAUGUAUGUAUUAUCAUGCUUAUGAUAGUCAGUCUGUUAUUAUUAUUGUUCACGUGUAUGAACUCUAUGCAUUUAGCCUACCUCACAUGUAUACCAGUACAUUCAGUCGUACUGACAUAUUUGUGCUAUGGUAUUUUAUACCAUAGAUUCAGAGACACGAGCUCAAGAGCAUCAGUAGCAUUCUAGUCUCAGCAGUCAGAGUUAAAAGUUAGUCCUCAUCCUUCGAGGACAUAAUUAUUACUUUACUAUGUCAAUAAUUAUUAGUUAGGAGUUAGUUGGGGACAUGUCCCAUCAACUCUUUACUCAGACAGUUCAGUCAGUUAGAGGCUUUUCAGACUAUCAUGUUCAAUUAGUUUAUUUCAAUUAUUUUGGGUAUUUCAUAUCUCAUUCAGAUGUUAUACUUUUUAUCAAAUAUUAUGUUAUAGUUUGAACCUUAUGGCCUUUCAAUUCAUGUUUCCACAUUAUGCAGUAUUUUAUGCAAUAUACAGAUACAGAUAUCAGUCAUGGGUUAGCUUGUAGUCCUUCAGGGUCAUGAGCAUCGUGUAGCAUUUUCGGGUACCAGAUUCAGGGCUAUACAACAACUCAUGGUCAAUAGGAUAAAGAAUACAACAUGUAAUGGAUAUAUUACAAGAAAAAUGUACAAAUGUACAGAUAUAAAAACAAUUAAAAAGAAGUGAUACAAAUUUUUGUAAGACCAUAUAUACCACAUAACAUUAUGACCAAGAUUAUAAAAAGAAAAAUAUAAAAAAUAAAUAAAAAAGACUAUCGCCCUAAGAAGAAAUAUUACUUAAGGAAAUCAAACACGAGAAAACCAUACUUAGAUAAGAAUAAACAUCUAAGAAAAUAUAACACCGGUAGAACCUAUAAAAAUAAAUUAGAAUAUUUUACUUGCGGAAGUAUAGAGCAUUUAUCAAAUACUUGUCCAAAAAGAACCACUAAUAGAUCUAAGAAUGCACAAUUAAUAGAAGAUGUAAAUAAAAAUUUAAUAAAUGUAGAUGAAUAUAUGUCAGAUAAUGAAAGUGUAUACUCUAUUAGGAGUUUGGAAAUUCUUGAAGAAGAAAAGGAUAAUUCUGAUUCUUCAGACUCUGGAGAAGAGGAAUUUAUAAAUGAAAUAGGCUUAGAAAAAAUAAAAUUAGACUUUUAUGAUUUAGUAAAUUUGAUAGAAGAAUGUGAACAUGAAUUUGAAGAAGAAAAAGGAUUAGAAAGUAACUAGUGUUGUUUUUGUAAUUGGUUUCCAAGUAAAAAGAAUUGAUCAAAGUGUAGAAAAUGUUACAAGGAAGGAUGUAUAAAAUGGAUAGAAAAAACCUCAAGAAUCUUAGAAACUCCAAAAUCAAUAAACAAUUUAAAUAAACUUUCCAAUCAAGAACCAAUAACCAGAACAACAGAAGAUAGAAUAUUAGAAUUAGAAGAAAAACUAAAAAGAUUAGAGAUAAGAGCAAACAGUAAAGAUAUAAUUAAAGUGUAACAUCCCGAAUCUCAUACCCGAAAUGCUACACGAUGCUCAUGACCCUAAAGGACCACAAGCUAACCCAUGACUGAUAUAUGUACCUGUAUACUGCAUAAUACACUGUAUAAUGCAAAAACAUGAACUGAAAGUCCAUAAGGUUCCAAAUUGUAACAUAGGAUCUGAUAAAAAUUAUAACAUCUGAAUGGGAUAUGAAAUAUCCAAAACAAUAGAAAUAAUUAUCUGAACAUGAUAGUCUGAAAAGCCUAUAACUGACUAAACUGUCUGAAUAAGGAGUUGAUAGGACGUCCCCAACUAACUUCGACUACUGAAAGAACUAAGUACUGAAAUAAUGAAAUAACAAAUCAUAAUGUCCUUGAGGAAUGAGGACUCACUGCUGACUGACUGUUGAUAUCUAGAAUCUACUGAUGCUCUGGAGUUCGUGUCUCUAAACCUAUUGUAUAAGACACUAUAGCACAAAUGUGUUAGUACUUUGAAUGUAAUGGUAUGCAUGGAAGGUAGGCUAAAUGCAUGGGUUUCAUAUUCAUGAACAAUACUGGCUAAAUGACUAAUAUGAACGUGAGAAUACAUGCAUGAAUACAUAGUAACUACAUUUGAGAUCGUGAUAUCAUGAAUUUACUGACAAGUAACAUGACUGGCAACUGAGUUCUGAUGACUGAUAUAGCUGAUAACAUGAGUGAAUGUAUCUAAUAGUCCUGAAUUUGAUGGAACUACCUGAGUUCCGUACUGUUCUGAGUUGAUUAUAUCGACAGUCCUGAAUUCUGUAGAACUAUCUAAUUUUUAUUACUAAAACUUAAUGACUGUGUCUAAUAGUCCUGAUUCUGUAACUAAAACUGUGGGAAGUAGUCAUCUAACAAAAAUACCCCUAAACGCCAUUAUGGCUGAGUUGGGGUCCAAUCUGUAACCCCAAUUAGAAGGGUGUCUAUAUCGUGCCAUUAGUAAAGAUAAGUUGUGGGUGACCCUCAUCUGACAGUUCCCUUAAACGAGAAUGGUGGGACCCUCAUCUGACAGUGUUUAUCCACCUCAUAAACCCUCACCUGACAGUAUUGAUGUCUCAACCUAUGCUGGCUAUAUAGUUCUGGAAUGCAAGGAUGACUUCUAAGAAUCACACCCUCAUCUUACAGUGUGUGUUCCCAUACUUGGGUUCACUCGGUGCUAAUUUCUACUCCCAUCUGAAUAGACACUGAACAUGGAUUACUAAAUUGAACUGGACUGAGAUAACUGGGUUUCGUUGACUAACGAAAUAGUACUGAGAUUACUGUAUUACUGAGCUUUUUAAGAUUACCGAGAUUUUUGAGUUUUCCUGAGUCACAUGACUAGCUGAAUUCUACUAAACAUGGCUUAACUGAGGAUAUUAUGAAAACAUGACAUUAGCUCUAGGCACACAGCUAAUUUAUAGGGUACAAGUACCCUCAAGACUCGAUGGAAAGAAAUUGACAAAGAAUGACUUUCUUGAAUACAUAAUCACAUCAUCAGUCUAUAAUAUAAUAACUAGGAGAAUUCAUAAAGUACAAGUUAUAAAAUAGGUCUUGAAAGGAUACCUGAGCCCUUCUUAGUUUCUAGCCCAGUGGGUGAGUCAGUUGUUGCCAAAUAGACCUAUAGAAAGUAUCCUAUCACUUCCUUUAUAAAAUCAUGCUAGUAGAUUUAAUAGAGUUGGAUAUAGUUGACCAACCUUAUUCUUGGUAUGGAUUUGCUCCAUUCCUGUUAUGCAUCCAUAGAUUGUCGCACCCGAGUGGUGAAGUUUCAGUUUCCAAAUGAGCCAAUCUUUGAGUGGGAAAGGAAUUCAGUGUCUCCAAAGAGUCAUUUCAUAUCCUAGCUUAAAGCCAGAAAGUUGAUAUCAAAAGGGUGUGUCUAUCAUCUAGUUCGAAUCAAAGACACUAAGUCUAAGACUCCAACAGUUUAGUCAGUCAGUGUAUUCAAUGAGUUUCCUGAUGUUUUUACCGAAGAUUUGUCAGGGGUACCUCCCGAUAGGAUAAUAGAAUUUAGUAUUGACCUUCUCCCAGAUACUCAGUCUAUCUUUAUUCCUCCAUAUCGUAUGGCUCCAGCCGAGCUUAAAGAGUUAAAAGAGCAGCUUAAAGAUCUUUUAGAUAAAGGUUUCAUAAGGCCAAGUAUUUCUCUAUGGGGCACUCCCGUCCUAUUCGUGCGUAAGAAAGAUGGUUCUUGCAAAUGUGCACUGACUAUCAUCAGCUGAAUAAAGUCACAAUCAAAAACAAAUAUCCUCUUUCUAGGAUUGAUAAAUUAUUUGACCAGCUCCAAGGUACAAGUUAUUUCUCCAAGAUAGACCUUAGAUCCGACUAUCAUCAGCUUAGAGUAAGGGAGUGUGAUAUUCCAAAGACAGCUUUCAGAACCCGUUAUGGUCAUUUUGAGUUUCUAGUCAUAUCAUUUGGUCUUACCAAUGCCCCAGCAUUCUUCAUGAACUUGAUAAAUCGAGUGCUCAAACAUUAUUUGGACAUGUUUGUCAUAGUCUUUAUAGAUGAUAUUCUUGUCUAUUCUCGUAGUGAGGAUGAUCAUGUAGACCACCUUAGGAUUAUGUUGCAAACUCUUAGGGAUCACCAGUUGUUCGCCAAAUUUAGCAAAUGCGAAUUUUGGCUAAGAUCAGUAGCUUUCCUCGAUUAUAUUGUUUCCAGUGAUGGUAUUAGAGUUGAUCCCUAAAAGACAGAAGCAGUAAGAAACUGGCCUAAACCCAUUUCUCCAUCAGACAUUAGAAGUUUCUUGGGUUUAGCUGGCUAUUAUAGACAUUUUGUUGAGGGUUUUUCUUUUAUUGUGUCUCCUAUGUCUAGAUUGACUCAUAAGAAAGUUAAGUUUCAGUGGUCAGAUUCCUGUGAGAAGAGUUUUCAGGAGUUGAAGCCUCAGCUCACUUCUGCCCCAAUUUUAGCAUUACUUGAUGGUACAAACUGGUUCGUCAUAUAGUGUGAUGCCUCUAAAAUCGGUUUGGGUUGUGUUUUGAUGCAGAGAGGUAAAUUUAUAGCCUAUGCCUCUAGACAUCUUAAACCUCAAGAAAAGAACUACCCUACCCAUGACCUUGAGUUAGCCACUGUUGUAUUUGCAUUAAAAAUCUGGAGGCACUAUCUUUAUGAGGUGCAUGUUAAUGUGUUUACUGAUCACAAAAGUUUGCAGUAUGUAUUUACUCAAAGGGAGUUAAAUCUUCAUCUGAGAAGGUGAUUAGAAUUGUUGAAGGAUUAUGAUAUAAGUGUAUUGUAUUAUCCGGGCAAGGCCAAUGUAGUGGCAAACGCCCUUAGUAGAUUGGGUAUGGGCAGUGUUGCUCACGUGGAGAAUGAUAAGAGAAAGUUAGUUCAGGAAAUUCACCGGUUGGCUAGAUUGGGUGUAAGGUUGGUUGACUCGGUUGAAGGUAAUAUUUGGGUUCAAAGUAGUUCAGAAUCUUCUCUAGUGUCUGAAGUGAAAGAGAAGCAUGAUAAGGAUCCUAGUUUGGUCAAGCUGAAGGGUUCAGUUAAAGAUCAAAAGGUAGAGGUUUUCUCUCAAGUGGGAUAUGAUGUGUUAAGAUACCAGAGUAGAUUGUGUGUGCCAUGUGUUGUUGAUUUAAGGCAGCGGAUUAUGGCAUAAACGCAUGGUGCAUGUUAUUCCAUUCAUCCAGGAACCAUCAAGAUCUACCGCGAUAUAUGGGAAGUCUAUUGGUGGAGUGGUAUGAAGAAAGAUAUCGCAGAAUUUAUAACCAUGUAUGCAACUUGUCAUCAUAUUAAGGUAGAACACCAAAGACUUGGUGGCACUAUUUGGCAUACCCACUUGGAAGUGGGAAGAGGUGAAUAUGGACUUUAUGACUGGAUUACCCCAUUUGCGUCGUUGGCAUGAUUUAAUUUGGGUUGUAGGAGACAAAUUGACCAAGUCGGCUCAUUUCUUUCCAGUUCACACGUCCUACACAGCUGAAGAUUAUGCUAAGCUGUACGUCAGAGAGUUAGUUAAAUUGGAUAGAGUUCCUUUGUCUCAGAUAGGGGUACUCAAUUUACCUCUCAGUUUUGAAAAGCCUUUCAGAAGGGUCUUGGUACCCAAGUUUAUCUCAGUUCAGCUUUUUAUCCUCAGAUAGAUGGUCAGGCAGAGAGGAUCAUUCAGACCUUAGAGAAUAUGUUGAGGGCAUGUGUUCUUGACUUUAAAGGAAGUCGAGAUGACCACUUACCGUUGAUCGAGUUUGCCUACAAUAAUAGUUACCAUUCUAGUAUUCAGAUGGCCCUAUUUGAAACUUUUUAUGAGCGAAGGUGCAGAUCACCAGUCGGUUGGUUCGAAGUAGGUGAGGCCGCUUUGAUUGGGAAAGAUAUGGUGUUUAAGGACAUGGAGAAAGUUCAUUUGAUUCGAGAGAGAUUGAAAGCAACUCAGAGUCGUCAAAAAUCCUAUGCAGACAUAAGAGGGAGAGAUUGAGUUUGAAGUAGAUGACUUUGUGUACUUGAAAGUUUCACCCAUGAAGGGGGUGAAGAUAUUUGGAAAAAAGUGGAAGCUUAGUCCUCGAUAGAUAGGCCCCUACAAGAUUUUGAGUCGUGUUGGGAAUGUAGCAUACGAACUUGAUCUACUCGAAGAGUUGUCGUCAGUUCAUCCAGUGUUCCAUGUGCCCUUAUUGAAGAAGUGCAUGGACGAUUCAGUUGUUGUAGUCCCCCUAGUAAGCACAGAAAUUCAGAAUAGCCUCUCAUACGAAGAAGUUACGGUAGAGAUUCUUGAUCAUCAGAUUUACAGACUAAGGAACAAAGAAGUUCCCUUAGUCAAAGUUCUGUAGCGAAAUCAGUCCGUUGAGGGUACUACUUGGGAAGCAGAAGCAGACAUACGUACCAAGUAUCCUCACCUUUUCUCCACAAACUCAGAUUCAGCCAAAGGUAACAGUCUUCCUUAAUUCAAUUUUUUUCCUAGUCUCAGAUUCAGCCAUAUAGCUACCUUUAUGUAAAUUCAUGCACUCACAGAUUAGUUCAGUCGCUCAGUAUGUUUAGAUUUAGACAUGCAGUUUGUUUUAGUUGUGCAUGUCAUCAUAUAUAGCCUCAGUUUCUCAGUAUCUUCAGUUUAACUAGUCUCAUUCGAGCACGAAUGUUCCCAAGGAGGAGAUAAUAUAAUACCCCAUACUUUUUUCUAGCUCGAUUUAACUCCUAGAAUGCCAAGGGUUAGCUUUGAAAUGAAUAACUCUUGAUGCAUGUAGAAUUUUCAAGCUCUAGACCCACCAAUGUGUAGAUAAUUGGCUCAACUUUCCAAUGAUACCAUUUUUUCCUCAAUCUGAUACUCGGUUGAGAAAUUAUGGCACUUUUAGUGAAGAUAAUAUCUCAAAAAGAGCAGCACCGCAUUGCGGUGACAUGAAAAAUUGCAGUUGUCCAAAUUUUAGUGGAACACCAUGAUUAGCUACAUCGUGGAGAAGUUCCAGUUCCCGAUCAUACUUUUUCCAGUGAGGCGACGCGAUUUCAGCACGUUGCAGCGAUGGAUAAAAUGCGGCUCAUCAUUUUUUCAGUAUCCCAAUGUGAUUGUACCAUGUCGCGCCAAGGGUUAAAAUCGCGAUCGUCCUUUUUCCAGUAAGCCACCGUGAUAGUGGCACAUUGUGGUGGUGUGCAAAAUCAGGAUUCCAAUUUUCUGAAGUUGAUUUUAAAGGGGUAGUUUAGUCUUUUCGUCAGCCCCUAAUUCGUGAAUAACACUGAAUUAAUCCUAUUCUAAGCAUUAUAUACAUGUUUUUAAUCAAUUUUCUCUCAAAGAAACCCUAGAACAUCAAAACUUAAUUCCCAAGAAAUCCAAAUUCCACCAUUCUUUCUCCAUGGAAACUCAAAAUUCAAGGUUCCCAAUUCAAGAUAAUCAAUAAUCCAUCUUCAAUAGCACAAAUAGGAAUCCAAAAAUCAAGUGUUCUCAUCAAUUGCAUCAAUUAAGGUAUAUGGGGGUUUCUCAACAACGAUAAUCCUUUCAUCCUUGUGCCCAAAAUUAGUUUUAAAGAUGAUUUUGUAUGAAAUUACAUAAGUUUCAAAUUACGGUUCGUACCCAAUAUUAUUAUUUGGAAGAUUAUGAGAUUUUGAGAGAUUUAGAUGUUGAAUUGCAAGUCUACUUCUGUAUUUUCAUGUGUAUUGCAGAAAUUUGCAGAUUUUGAAUUGAAUUAUCAUUAUCUUCAUUAUCAAGCAUGAAUAUUAUUAUAUCUUGACAUGAAUUUGAUGCAUGGUUACUAAGCCAUAGUUGAAUAUUGCUAUUUCAAAAUUGAUUGUGCUAUAAGCACCCUAUGACUAGAUUAUUUUUAGAUUUUUGAUAAAGAUUUGAUAUUUUGAUCUCAGUUUCAAUAUGGAAUCCACUUUACAGUUUCAUAUUACAGUUUAAUUUAACAGAUAUACAGUCGGUUUUCAUUAUAAACCAUUAUACUAGAUUUUAAAGUGGAUUUCUAACAGAAUGAGCAUACAGAUAAAAAAGGAGUAGUAUUUAGCACCGAGUUUGGUAGGUUUACAUGCCCCAAAACUACGAGCCAACGUAGGUUCAGAUUAUCAAAUUAUUCCCAUUUCUAUAUGGAUGACAAAUACAGAUGUGAUUACUUAGAUUAGGUUAUACUCCUUGGAAAGAGUAUGACACCUCUCCUCAAUGUGAGGUUUUUUCAUAAGGGAACUAGACGUUGGACACUAUGAUAGCUCACAUAGUGUAUGUCGAUUAGAAGAACCUCCCUAAUAGACAAGACUACAGAAUAAUCAUAACAGAACAGCUUUCAGAAACUAAGUGUAAAGGCUCACGAUUUUAUUCAGAUAUUGUUUUAUAUAAGUCAUUAGCUACUAGAUUUUAGAUUUCAGAUAUAAAAGUGAGUCCUUUCUAAACUUAUACAACAUGAUUUGAAUAUAGAAUACAAGUAGAGCUCUUAGAAACUAAAUGUUAUGACUCACUAGAUCUAUGCAACAUGUUUUGCUAUUCAUGAUUAUGAUUUUCAGUUUUCAGAUAUUCCAGCCUAUGUUAGUCAUCUACAUUUAGCAUGCAUUCUUUACAAAUUUAUAAUAAUAUUGAGAUACUGAUUUACUUGUGCAUUCACCCCCAUAUACUCAGUAAAAUCCAAAAGUACUAAUCCACAUAUACGUCUAUGUGCUACAUUAUCUCAUAAUGUAGGUCCAGGUGCUCCGUUUCAGCAACGUGGGUGAUUUCAAGAAUUUCUAUAUCUGUAUCCCGACGGUUUGUAAAUCCUCAUAGUUCGGGGACCCAAUCCUUCAGUUUUUGUCACGACCCGAACUAGGGUCUGGCCGUGACGAACAUCCCAAACUAUGAAGGCCCAGAACACCCUUCUCUAUCUGGUAAUCAUGCACAACAUUUAUAUAAUAAAAGAAGAUAUGAAAACAUAAUCUGCUAUGGAAACAUGAUCAAUUCUACAUUCAACAUAAUUAUGGAAACUGCAAGUCAACAACAUCUAAAUAAUAUUUGAAUCAGUCUGCAAAAUCUCUACCACAUGAAAAUCUGACAACUGUCUGAAACUGGGACAAGGCCCCCAGUAGACCAAAUCUGAAAUACGUGACAUAAUCUGAAAAGACAGGCCUUCUGGAAUAGAAAAGGCUCACCACUGCACAAUCUGAUCAGCUAUCUGAAUUAUUUACUGCUUAUCUGGACCCCUAGACUGUGCCUCAGAACCUGAGAGGUUUGAGGGGGAGGGGGUCAAUACAGAUGUACUGGUACGUAAAGCAUAUCCAAAAUAAUCAUUUAUUAUCCAACAUAUAUGAGAGCAAUUUAAAACAGUUCAUGAGUAUAUCAUAUAGUAAGAAUUCACAUGGGCAUUUUAAAGACUAUAAAAAUCAUCACAACUCUGAGAAAUCUGUGUUACUUCUGUGCUAGGUGGUAUACCCUACAACUCUGAAAAAUUUCAUGGGCUAUAUGGAAACUGCCAUUAACUCAGCAGCGAAGCCCCCAACCCAAGUGUGCCACAAGGGUCGGAGUCUCUGAAUCUACUACUCCACACGGUCGUCACUAGCGUACAAUAAUAAUCUACCCGUAUCGGCAAAUACAGUUUCAGGCUAAGAGUUGCUUGAACUCGAGCCAUCUUCGGGUAACCACCUAUCCCUCUGUAAGCCCCUUCUUAAAACUCUAUCAAAAUAUACAGUCUCUGAAAACAUAAUCUCUUAUGGCAUAAAUACAUAUGGUAUCGUCAUACCAUUAACUUGCAAUUCACAUCUCUGAGCUAUUAUUAAUCUAUCAUAAAUCUCUGUAUUCAAAACAAGUUUUGAGACCAUCAUUUCAAUAAUUCAAUUCAAUGAAUUUUUUCUUCUCAAUCCUCAUGUAAACACAUGCAAUUUUUUAUCAUACCCACAAGAACAUAUUGAUAUCAAGAAACACCCUCUCAACAAUUCCAAAUCAUGUUUAAAUGCUAGGAUAUAGCAAAAACAUCUUUGAAAUCACAAAACCAUAAUUCUUUAAAUCAAUACAAGAGAGGGAGUUCAUAAUUUAUGCUCUCAACAAUCUUAAAUCUCAAAUUCAUACAUAUACAUAUAUAUAUGUAAAGCAAUCUAGGGGAAAAGACCACAAGGCCAAAGCAAUAGUAGCAUUGAAACUUCCGUAAAGCAUAAUCAAUAAUAUAGUUUUCAAAACCCCCAUAAAAUACAUGCAUCAAAACCUUUAAAUCAUGCUCUAACAAUUUCAAGCCCAUGUAGGUUUUUAGGAUAAACCCCACGUACUUCUAUUUCGAAGAAUAAUGAAUGAUUCUUGAAGCUUACGGAUUGGGAAUUCCAAAUCUCUAAUUAUCUUCAAAAACUCACCGUUGAAUCUUGAGUUACGAGGAUUUUUAGUUUGAAACCCUAAUGGAGUUUCUUGAGAGAUUUUGAUGAAAAUAAUCUUACUUUGGUGUUCUUGGGAUUAAAUCUCGUGUUAGAGAUGAUAAGGGUUGGACAAGUACCAUUUUACCCUUAAUGAGAUGGAGUAAAAAUAUAACUGGUGCUUGAUUUUAUGGGCCACCGUGAUCUGCCACUAUCGCGGUGGCUCACUGGAAAUUGACGAAUGCGAAAUUGAGAUCCUCCAAGACGCGCCACUAUCGCAAGGUCCCACUGGAAUUUUACAAUUGCUAAUUAAACCAUCUCUGCGACGCGCUAAAUAGCAAAAUGACGAUGUUUUACGACUAGCACAUAAAAUAGCCAUAACUUCUUCACCGAGUGUCUGUUUUGGACGAAUCUUAUAUCGACAGAAAGCUUCUUCAGUCAUCUACGUAAUGAAAAGUUGAAAUCUACGAAAUUCCAUAGGGAAAUAAGUGUAAAUCAUUCUAGAAGACAAAGCGUGACACUUUAGGGACAAAAUUUAGCUAGGAAAAGUUUGGGGGCGUUACAGUUUUCCAGCUUAUUAGUAUAGAUGAUUCAGUAUUUUCAGAUAGUUCGAGUCAGCUGGGGGUUUGUCCCAGUGACUCUCUAGUUAUUUAUAUUAGAAGCUUGUCAGACUGCUAGAUUUGCUUCAGAUUUUCAGUAUUGAUUUAUCAAACUCUUGAGUUAAACAUUUUCAGAUAUUAUAUUUAGAUACUUUCAGCUUAGCCCAUAUAGAAUUCCACAUUUUAGCUUGAUUAUAUAUCUAUACUUCCCUAUUAUGAGUUUCAGAUUUAGUGGAUGGCUUACAGGAUUAACUUAAGGCUACUCGUAGUCUUGAACACCGUGUGACGUCUCGGGACUUAUUUUCGGGGCAUUACAUAUUGCAACACCCCCAAAAUCCAAGAUAUGAUUAGAACCAUAAUUCAAGUACAUGUGGAAUCAAAUUCAUAUUUUGAUAGUAUGAGAAGUGAUUUAAACAUAUAUUAAGGCCACAAGUAACUCUUAGCUCAUAACCAAGUCAAAACCUCUCUUAUUGAUUUCUUGUAAAGAAUCUUGCUAUAGUCAAUUUCAAAUGAGUAUAACUCAUGGAUUCUAACGUGUUUUUGAUCUCAAGAACCCCCAAAUGAAAGAUAUUUGAAUUAUCUUUCCAACUCAUACAGUUUUGUACUAAUUCGAUAUUGGAGUAAAAAGUUAUGGCCAUAUUAGUGAAGCAUUGUCAAAGCUAUCAACGAUGGGCCGUCAAAAGACCUGACAGGCCAUGGGAAGACUCCAUGUGCCAGGAGGAGGUUCAUGUCCACUUCUAAAAGAAAGUAUAAAACAAUUCCUAAAUGACAAUCCGAGCAAUGACCCAUAGCCAGGUCCCACAAGCUGUCAUUUGAGACAUCGAAGUGAACUCCAACAUUUUUCCAUACAGCUUUAAAGGGGUUGUUUUGUAUUUUUCCAUUCUUUUAACAUCAAAACUAUGUAUUUUAAGUUAUUUCAAGGUUUAUUAUUAAGUCUAAAAUUAUGAAAAUUUCUUUAUUACUCAGGAAUCAGUAGACACUUUGUAAAAACACAGAGAAAGAGGUGAUUUACUUUUCUUAAGGCAGAAUUAGGGUUCUUUAACUUCAAGCUCCAAGUUCAAAUAUUUCUUCAAGACUCUUUUCACCAGGUAUGUGGAAUUUCAUCAAGGGGUUUCCCUGUACCCGUUGAGUCCCAACGUUAAUUACAAUCCACAAUUUAAUCUUUCUUCAGAGUGUAGGGUUUAUGAAUAAUGUAAAAUCCUUUGUAUUAUAGUGUUCCUUCAAAAUGUUGUUUAUCUCCAUGUUUUCAUUGAAAGUUCAUAUCUUUACAUGUAUGAAUUCAUGAUUCUCAGUACAUAAUUUAUGGGUUUUGGCUUGAGUAUGAAUAUUCCCUUUUCUCCAUUUGAUCAUUGAAUUGUCAUAAGAGUUGCAUUCUACAGAGAUAGCGAUUUAUGAACACCCAAUGGCCUAGGAUUUCAUGCAUAUAUUCAAUCCCUCAGUUUUCAUGAUUUGAAUAUUUUUGGAUAAAGUAAUCAUUUUUUGUCUUCGAAAUAUUUAUAUUAUUGAGCAUUCCAGCUAUUAGUUAUUAUUCAGUUGGGAAUAGUACUUAGCACCGAUCGAAUGUAGGGAUGAAUAUUCACUUGUUAGUUAGGUUGAGACCUUUAGUAGAAGUCCCAGAACUAAAGCACCACCAUAGGUUCUAAAGGGCCACCCAUCAUACCAGGCUUGAUACCCUAGUCCUUUUAGACAUCAGUUUUGUGGAUCCACGUCAGUUAGUGUUCGUACCCUUGGCAAGGUACUGAAUACCCAUACUGCUGGGGUUACAGGAUGGACCCUUAUUAGCUCAAAUUGUGGUAUUUUAGUUAACAAUAACUCUCACAUUCCACAGUUCAGCUUUAGAUAGUUGCAUGACCUUGUAUUCAAUUCUUCGACAUAUCAUACAACACAUGUUUAUUACUUGGUCUUGCAUCAGUUUAUCAUAAUACAUGCAUUAUGUCUAUCUAUAUCAGUUAUUUCCUAUCUCACAUACUCAUUACAUUCAAAUUACAGAUAACAUACUUGUCUUUGCGUUUUAUUGUCUUAUAAUAUAGGUUCAGAUAUUUAACAUCUGAAUCAUGUAUAGUACAGUUCCGCACCAUAUCAGCAGUAGCAUUUGGUGAGUCCUCAUCAUUCGAGGGCCAGUUAUCAACAUUUUUUAGUAGUAUUUUAGUUUCAAAUAGUCAGGAUUAGUUGGGGGCUAGUCUGAGCAACUAAUUUUAUUAGAAGCUUUCAGACUGUCAUCUAGAUUAUGUUUGCAGCUCUAUGAGUUUUAUUCAAAUAUAGUCACUUGAGCUUGUGGCCAAAUUUAUUAUUCAGAUUAUUAUUUUCUACAUUAGUGAUUUUCAGUUUAUUUCAGUAUUUGGAGUAACAACAACUAUAGGGGCAUCAAGUUAUUGAGUCAUACUAUGAAGGUUUGGGAAAGGGUGAUAGAGUUAAGGAUGAGGAGGAUCGUGAAUAUUUUCGAGAAUCAAUUUGGAUUCAUUCGAGAUAGUUUGAAUACUGAGGCCAUUCACCUCAUGGAGAGAUUAAUAGAGCAAUUUAGGGAGAGAAAAAAGGAUUUGAACAUAAUAUUCAUUAAUCUUGAGAAGGCGUAUGACAAAGUUCCUAGAGAGAUUCUGUGGAAGUACUUGGAGGCUAGAGGCAUGCCCGUGGAGUAUAAUAAGUCGAUUCAAGACAUGUACUAUGGUGCGAAGACUUGUGUGAAGACAAUAAGAGGAGAUUUGGAUCACUUUCCUAUUUUGAUAAGGUUGCACCAGGGAUCAACUCUUAGCCCAUAUUUAUUUUCUUUAGUGAUGCGUGUUUUGACGUGAUGUAUUUAAAGGGAGGUUCCUUAGUGCAUGCUAUUUUAUGAUGAUGUUGUACUGAUUGAUAAGACUUGAGAAGGAGUUAAUAAUAAGUUGGAGGUUUGGAGACAGACAAUUGAGUCCAAAGAACUUAAGUUGAGUAGGACCAAGGUGGAGUACUUGGAGUAUAUGUUUAGUGAUUUGUCGCUUGAGGCUGACAUGGUGGUGAAGCUGAAUUCUCAGGCCAUUUAGAAAAAAGAAAGUUUCAAGUAUCUUGGGUCUAUGAUUCAAGGAAAUAGCGAGAGUGACGAGAAUAUCACAUAUCGUAUUAGUGCAGGAUGGUUGAAAUGAAGGCUCGCUUCAGAGGUUUUGCUUGAUAAGAAGGUGCCUAAGUUCUACAGAGCAGCAUUCAGAUCAGCUACGUUGUAUGGAGCGAAGUAUUGGGAAGUUAAGAACUCCUGCAUCUAAAAGUUGAAGGUGGUGGAUAUGAGGAUAUUGCGAUGAAUAUGUGGACUUACCAGGAAAGAUAGGGUUAGAAAUGAGAUUAUUCGGGAGAAGGAGGGAAUGGUUUCGGUAGAGGACAAGAUGCGAAAAGUGAGCUCGCGAUGGUUCGGGCAUAUGAUGACGAGGGGAACAGAUGAUCCAGUUUGGAGGUGUGAGAGGCUGGCUAUGGAUAGUUUUAGGUGAGGUAGAGAUAGGCCAAAGAAAUAUUGGAGGAAGGUUGUAAUACCCCGGAUUUCCCUACCCUAGAUUAACACUCAGGUCAUGGGUUAUCCUAAAUAAAAUAUUUGGAAUACUUAGUAAUUUUUAGAUUUGAGCCUGUAAUUGCGUAGGAAAUCCAAUUAGCUUUUCAACGAUAUAAAAUUUGCCUAAAUCCGACAAACGGGUAAGAAGUUAUGGCGAUUUUAAGUUUCAAUCGUUAAACAUCAUCAUUCAGGCAAGUAGCGCGUUGCGGAGUGUGUCAAAAUAGCACUUGUUAGUUUCAAGUGUUGCUCCGCGAUGUUGGCGCGUCACUCCAUAGACCCAGUUCACAAUUGUCAACUUCCAGUGUGCCAACGUGAUCCCACCGCGUCGCGGUGCACUUCCAGUUCACAAACAAAGUGGCAACACAAUACCACUGCUUUGCGCAACCAUGCAAUUUUCCAGUAAUCAUUUUCCAAUGGCCCGGCAUGAUAGCAGCGCAUCGCGCUAGGGAUCCAAAUCGGAAAAAUUUCACGAAAACUUAAAGUUGCGCGCAGGGUUAAAACAGUCUUUUUCCAUGAUUUUAUUCCGCUCAAAUGUGGGAUUUAAGCCCUAAAAAUAUGUAAAACCCUUCAUUAUUCACUUUUCCCCAAAAUCAAAAGGUAGUUCUCUCUCAAGAAAACAAAUCCUAGCUCUCAAGAAUCAAGGUCACUCCCAAGAAUUUCUCCAAGAACUCAUCAAAUUAAGGUAUGUUAGAUGUUCAUUCAUGGAUCCUUACCUUUCAUAGAGACCAAGAAUCCUUUUUCAAUAUACAAGAUUUAUGAUUUAUGAUUUCCAUGUUUGAAUUAGAUUGAAUUCAUGUUCAUGAUGUUGUUUGAGUUUUAAUCCAUGAUUAGAUUACGAGUUCCAAGAAUUGACUCUAGCAUGUGUUGAAUUACAUAAUAAUCAUGAUAAACCCCUCAAUUUGCAAGUUGAUUAUUGUAACCAUGUUAACCCUAAGUGUUUAUGAUCUAAUGAACCAAGUAUGCUUCUUAUGUGUUUGAUAAAUUGUCUGUGUGAAUGAAAUAGUGUCAUAUAACAUGCUAACAUGUAUUUCCCAUUUAUGUACAAGUUAAUGCAUUACAAGUGCUUGAUGGAAUGUCUCUAUGAUUGAAUUAUGACCAAUUGAACAUUGUUAUGUUAUUCAAGAUUAUGCUUUUCUUUAAUUUUUAUCAGUGAUCCCAGAUUAUCAGUAUAUUCAGUUAUCAGUUAUCAUAUUUAGUUCCAGUAUACUCAGUCACAAUAGGCACAGUAUGUUCAAUAGUUACAAAUCUUCCAUGUAUGCUAAUCCAGCUCUUGCAUAUUAUUCAAUUAGUUAUUAUUCAUGCAUAUGAACCUAUGCAUUCAGCCUUACCUCAUUUAGCAUACCAGUACAUUCACACAUACUAACUGCAUACCCGUUUCUUACGCUAUGAUGUUUCAUAUCAUAGGUUCGGACGCUCAAGCUCCUUCCGCGCUUAGCCAGAUUCAGCCAGCAGUAGCAGAUUUAGCAAUGAAUUCUCAUCUAUCGAGGAUAUACUUUUAUUUUAGUACUUCAGCUUAGCAGUAUUUUAGUAGAUGGAGUUAGUUGGGGGAUUGUCCCAUCAACUCCACUUUUAGACAGAUUUAGUUAGAGGCUUUUCAGACUAGAUUUUCAGACAGUAUUCAGAUUUAGAUGUUAUUAUAUUUUAUCAGUAUUUUAGAUGCUUUGAACCUUAUGUCAUUUCAGCCCAUUAUUUCAUAUUUAUUUCAGUAUUAUUGUUCAGUGCUAACAGCAGAUAUCAUUCAUGGGUUAGCUUAUGGUCCUUCGGGGUCGCAAGCACAGUGUAACGACUAGGGGAUAGUCUCGGGCCGUUACAAACUUGGUAUCAGAGCCUAAGGUUCAAUAGUGUCCUAGGGAGUCUGAAAAGUCGUAUCGCGUAAAGUCUUAUUCAUGGGUGUAUAGCACACCACACUUAUAGAUCGGGGGCUAUGGGAUGUUUUAGGAAAAAUUUCCCUUCUUUCAGUAUUCAUGUCGUGUGAGUGAGCAUGAGCUCAAGUUAAUCUCUUAGUCUAAUCCGCCCUAUCAGUUACAAGAUGUAGCCCAUACGUGGUUUAAGUAGUGGAAGGUAGACAGGGGUAUAGAUACAGAGCCCAUAGAGUGGGAAGAGUUUGCUACUGUCUUUCUAGACAGAUUUUUUCCCUUAGAGCUGAGAGAAGCCAAAAUGUUAGAGCUCAUCAAUCUCAGACAAGGUUGUAUGAGCGUAAAAGAGUAUUCCUUCAAGUUUACUCAGUUAUCCAGGUAUGCUCCCCAUGUAGUAGCUGAUAAUAGGUCCAGAAUGAGCAAGUUCAUAUUUGAGGUGUUAGAUAGUGUGGUCAAGGAGUGCAGAACAGCGAUGUUGAUUAAGGAGAUGGAUAUAUCUAGGCUUAUGGUCCAUGCUCAACAGAUUGAGGAGCAGAAGCUUAAGAAGAAGGAGAGAAAGAAGGGCUAGAACAGGUAGCUUUAAUUUCAGUCAGCCUAAGUCAGAAGGCGGUAACUGUUCCCAAUUUCAUCCAAAGUCUUCAGUCCCAGGUCCAUCCUCAACCAGUAUACCGAUGACCCAGGAUAGCAUAAGCAAUGGUCGUACUAAUUCGUUUUGUGGAGAGUGUGGUAAGAAUCAUAAGGGUGUGUGCAGAGUUAGAAGUGAUGUUUGUAUCGGGUGUGGCAAGCCAGGCCACAGAGUCAAAGAUUGUCCUCAGUCAGGUUCUCAGGGUCAGUAUAGUCGUCGUUCAGCUUAGUCAGGUCACCCAAAUCAACAAGGUGCCACUUCCAGUGCCACCAGUGGGCAACGCCUAAACAAGUUUUACGCACUUCAGUCCAGAUAAGAUCAGGAAAGUUCUCCUGGUAUGGUCACUGGUAUGUUACGGAUCUCUCAUUUACAUAUUUAUGCCUCAAUUUUAGAUCCCAGAUAUUCAGUCACGAUUUAGUUCAUCGGUUCCCCGUGCAUUGUCUCAUGCUUUUCCUUAGUAUCUCAGCUAAGUCAGCAUUCUCGAGGGACAUAGUGUUCCAAGGGGGGGAUGCACUAUAACCCCCAAGCUAUCAUGAUCUAAACCUUCCAUUUUCUCUUCACGUAGCAAAUCCAGUUGAAGUAAUAGGUCCUUAUAGUUGACCCUCAAGUCCCAAGUUCAGCCGUAUAACCAUCCCCCUGUUAUGAACACGUAUCCAAGGAAUCAAUUCAGUUCAUGUAUCAUGAUUCAGACUUAGUCAUAUCCCCAUGUUCCCGUUCAUGUAUAUUCAGUCACGUAUUCAUUAAUCCGUUCAGACAUAUACUCAUGCAUCAGACAUGCAUGUUCAGAAUGUAAGUUCAGUCUAUCAGACCAGUCACGUAAUCAUGCUUCAGUUGUCCAUGUCUAGUUUAGUACGUAAACUCAAUCUGUUCGUACUCUCUCAGCUUAACUAGCCACAUUCGAGGACGAAUAUUCCCAAUGGGGAGAUAUUGUAAUACCCCGUAUUUCCCUAGCCUAGAUUAACCCUCAGUACAUUGGUUAUCCUAAAUAAAAUUUUUGGAAUACUUAGUAAUUUUCAGAUUUGAGCCUGUCAUUGCUUAGGAAAUUCAAUUAGCUUUCCAACGAUAUAAAAUUUGCCUAAAUCUGACAAUCGGGUAAGAAGUUAUGGCGAUCUUAAGUUUCAAUCUUUAAACAUCGUCAUUCAGGCAAGUAGCGCAUCGCGAAGUGUGUCAAAAUAGCAAUUGUCAAUUUUCAAUGUUGCUCCGUGAUGUUGGUGCGUCGUGCCAUAAACCCAGUUCACAAUUGUCAAUUUCCAAUGUGCCAAUGCAAUUCCACCGCCUCGCGAUGCACUUCCAGUUCACAAAUAAAGUGGCAACGCGAUACCACCACGUCACGCCACCAUGAAAUUUCCAGUUGUCAUUUUCCAAUGGCCCAGUGCGAUAGCGGCGCGUCACGCCAGGGGUCCAAAUCAGGAAAAUUUCACGAAAACUUAAAGUUGCGCCCAGGGUUAAAACAGUCGCCCAGGGUUAAAACAGUCUUUUUCCAUGAUUUUAUUCCGCCCAGAUGUGGAAUUUAAGUUCUAAAAAUGUGUAAAACCCUUCACUAUUCACUUUUCCCCAAAAUCAAAAGUUAGGUAUCUCUCAAGAAAACCUCUCAAGAAUCAAGGUCAAUCCCAAAAAUUUCUCCAAGAACUCAUCAUAUUAAGGUAUGUCAGAUGUCCAUUUAUGGAUCCUUACCUUAUCUAUCUAUCCGCCGCCGGGACGAUCGUCCACCAUUUGGACGGUACGCAUCACCGGCAGGCAAGUAUAUCCUCUCCAAAAGCAAGAACCUUCAUCCAUACCAAGUAUCGCCUCACAAUCUUUAUAGAUGAACCUCUACUCUCUUCUCUUUUCAUCAAUUCUACCAUAAAUUGAAUUCCCUAAUCAGUGUUUUGGUCAAAUUACUCCGGCAUGAUAGAUCGGGUAGCUAACCAAUCCCUUGGCCUUGGUCAGCCAUCAUCAAUUGUAUUAGCUACUACCUCUCCAGUUAAUUUUCCAGAGUUAUAUCACCCAUGUGCGUCAAAAAAAUCCCAACAAUGUCCCACGGAUGCUAAGGUUGAUAAUCCUCAACAAAGUCCUAAUCUGACCCAAAAACCCCUUAUUGUGGAUGAUGAGCAAAAUGACCAGUCCAAGAAAAUGAGGUAUGCUGAUUUGUUGAAAUCCAAAACCUCAUAAAGGAAUGCUUCAAAUGUUGCAGGUACGCCAAUACAAAUGAAACCUGUAAUAUAUAAUGAUGGAAUCCCUCGAGUAACCUGGACAGAAGAAGUACAAAGAAUGAACGUCUUGGAGAAUUUACAAUUAGCUAUUAUUGGAAAAUUCUCCUAUGGUUGGCCAGAAUUGGAAGAUCUAAGAGUGCAAAUACCAUCACAAUGCAAAAUUAAAGGUGAGUGCAAAAUUGGGCUUCUCCGUAAUAGACAUAUAUUGAUGAGAUUUAAUCUAUUGGAGGAUUAUGUCAAUAUGCUAUCCAAAAAUGUCUAUUAUAUCAUUGCAAAAAAUGGGCUGGCUUACCAGAUGUGCCCUCUAAUUUAUGAUGUAAAUUUUAAGCCAGAAGAAGAAACUACUCAAGCUAUGGCAUGGAUCUCUUUUCCUGAUCUAUUACCUACCUUUUAUGGUAAGGAAUCUCUAUUUUCAUUGAAAUCAUCAAUUGGUAAACCCAUCUAGUUGGACAUGGCUAUAAUCAAUAAAACUCAUCCUAGUUGUGCAAAAGUUAAAGUCUAGGUGGAUCUUGCCAGGAAAUUGCCGAAGGUUGUUGAAAUAGAAGUAGUGAACAAGAAGACUACAGGGUCGAGUGUUCAAUCUAUAAGAGUCCAAUAUGAUAUGCUACCUAAAUAUUGUCAUGCAUGCAAAUUGCAAGGUCAUGAUGGAGAUGAUUGCAGAACAUUGCACCUAGAACUGAGACCAAAAAGAAUUUACUACAAGACAGAAGAGGAAGACAAUGAUCAAAAUGAGGAAAACAACAAGACUCCAGUGCAAAUAAGAUACAUUUAUGGCAAAGUGGUCUACGUCAAAUGGAAUCCCACCAAGAGAUUGUUCAAAAUGGAGAGAGGGAUAAUGAGCACAGCAACAGAACCUCAACAAGGUAAGGGAGUUAGUAUAUCAAACCAUUUUGGAGUACUGCAAGCCAGUGAAAAGGAGGGCAGCCAUGGGUUGGAAGACAAAGAAAAGAAUGCAAACUCACCUAAGGAGGUUACUGAAACAGCCCACCAAAAACAUGUGCAUCAACAACUAUCCAAUAGAGGCAGAAUGCAGGAAGAAAAAAAUGUCAAAGCUCAACCAAAUCAGGUACAUGGCUUCACAUAUCAACGUAAUAAUGCCACGGAGAUUACAGACACUACAGAUAUGGCAGACAAGGAUAAUGGCAUUAUUGAAGGAAAAUCCAGCAGCAGCAGAGCAGAGAUAGAUGACAGUAGGGCAGAUAAACAAAAUUUAUCUGAACAAUACAAAAGUGGUGGCAUGGAAAAUGAGGAACGGAGUUUGGCUGUCACCAGAAAAAUUGGUGAGAUUAAUCAAAGCAUCCAUGAGAAUACACUACCAGUUGAGGAUUUCAUUGAUCAAGAGUAUCAAUUAUCCAAUGCAACUUAUCAUGAACCUUUGAACGUAGAUACCACUUUGGCUGCUGUAAACAUUGCUGAGGCCACUAGCCGAUUCCCAACUGAAAAUGCAAUUAAAAUGAAUGACUCGAUAGCAACAGAAGAGAUGCAAGCUUUGGUUACCUUGCCAAUCCCAAUCCAGGAAGCUCGGACUUCACCACCUAUUAAGAAGCUUCAUGACAUAGUAUCCCACAACUGUAGUGACAAGAUAAAAGAGGAAAAGAAGUCUAAUUUUGAUGACAGCAGUAGGGAAGAUAAGGAAGAAGAGAAUAAUUGUCAGAAUCUCCAGGAAAUUAUGAAGUUAGCAGGAUCAUCACCAACUUUAUAGCCAAAUGCAAAGAAAACGAAAGGCAAAUCAGAAGUACCACAAGCUAAGAGAGUAUUGCCUAAAAGGGGUUCCAGAUCAUUUGCUAAAUGACUAUGAAAAUGUUAUUUUAGAACAUCAGGUCUGUGAGGACCUUCCAUGCUUUUCACAGGGUUCAAAUGCUUCAUAAGCAUCAUAAAUUCAGUUUUGUAGCCUUAAUGGAACCAUUCCAAGAAACCAGUCAGUUGCAGAAAUAUGAGGAAAUUGAGGAUGGAAUAUGCUAAUGCUAAUGUAAAUGGGAAGAUAUGGAUUUUUGAUAAUAACAACAUCCAAGUUGACGUACUGGAUGAUUCUGAACAGCAACUCACUACCAAAUUAAAGUUCAUGGAUAAUAAUAAGGAACUUGUAAUCAUAUCUGUUUAUGCUAAAUGUGAGACUACCCAAAGAAUUGAUCUGUGGAAUGAUAUUUAUGGAAUCUGUAAUAGCAUGUCACUUCCAUGGCUUGUGGGUGGGGAUUUUAAUGUUAUUAUUGAUGCUGAAGAGAAAAUUGAAGGGCUACCAGUGUAUCCACAAGAAUACAAAGACUUUGUUUUUUGUAAAAAUUCAUGUGGCUUACUUGAUAUUAAGUUCAAAGGGAGUCCAUUCACAUGGUGGAAUGGAAGAGCUGAAGCAGAGUGCAUCUUCAAGAGACUUGAUAGACUGCUUAUUAUUCAACAAUUUUUUGAUUUUCCUGGUAAGGCUGAGUUAGAACAUUUGGCAAGAACUGGAUCUGAUCAUGCUCCUCUUUUACUUACAUGUGGUGGGCUGGAAAAGCAGGAUAACAGGCCUUUCGGAUUUCUAAAGAUUUGGCUGAUACUGAAGGCUUCAUUGAGGUAGUUAAAAAUGCUUGGGAGUCUAAUACUCAUGAGGAUGUGUUCAUCAACUUCAAGGUAAAAAUGAAGAUGAAAAAAUUAGCUCUAACAAAAUGGAGUAGAGAGAAGCUAGGAUACAUUUUUCAGCAACUAGCAAUCAGGGAAGAAAUCGUGAAAAUAAAAGAAGCGUUAUUCGAAGAGUUUCCAACUGCGGCAAAUAGGGUUGUUUUGAGACAGGCACAAGCUGAAUUAGUAAGGUAUUUGAAGAUGGAGGAGGAUUAUUGGAUGCAAAAGACUGGUAUUCAAUGGUUCUCAGAAGGAGAUCGUAAUACCAGGUUUUUCCAUAGCAUGGUAAGAGGUAGACGCAACAGAUCGAACGUUAACAGGAUUCAGAAAGAAACUGGUGACUAGGCAGAAGGAGAACAACAGGUUGCAGCAGAAGCCAUUAGCUUUUUUCAAGGAGAAAUUCACUACUCAGUUAAUUGCAAAUGAAUACUCUUUGUUGGAAAAUAUUCCAGACUGUCACAAAAGUUGACAACAGAGGUUUAAACGGUUUAUGUCCAGAAGAAGGGAUCAAAGGUGCUGUUUUUUAACUUAAUGGUGAUAGUGCUUGCGGUCCUGAUGGAUUCAAUGGAUUAUUCUACCAAAGGACUUGGGAGUUCAUACGAAAAGAUGUGUGUGCAGUUAUUAAUGCGUUCUUUCAAGGUCAGACUCUUCCUAAAUCAAUUACCCAUUCAAACUUGGUCUUGAUUCCAAAAAAAGAAGCCUUUCAAUCUUUCGCGGAUUUUAGACCUAUAAGUCUUAGUAAUUUUAUUAAUAAGAUUAUAUCAAGAAUUUUACAUGGUAGGUUGGACAAUUUUCUUCCAAAACUUAUCUCUCAAAAUUAAUCUGGUUUUAUAAAAGGAAGGAGUAUCUCUGAAAAUGUCCUGUUGGCUCAAGAAAUCAUCACUGAUAUCAGAAAAAGGGGUAAACCUGCCAAUGUGGUAUUUAAACUUGAUAUGGCUAAGGCGUACGACAGACUUGAAUGGUGCUUUUUAGUUAAGGUUUUGGAAAAAAUGGGUUUUGAUAAAGGAUUUAUCGAUAAAAUUUGGAGAUUGCUUUCUAAUAACCGGUAUUCUAUCUUGAUUAAUGGCCAGUCACAUGGCUUCUUUCAUUCGACUAGAGGUGUGAAGCAGGGUGAUCCUUUAUCAACUGCCCUUUUUAUUAUGGCUGCGGAAGUGUUAUCUAAAAACUUAAAUGACUUGUUUUAUAACAAAGAUUUUAAGAGUUUUGGAAUGCCUAAAUGGAGUGAGCCAAUUAAUCACCUCUCGUAUGCAGAUGACACCAUCAUCUUCACAUCUGCAGACAAGAGAAGUAUGCAGCUGAUUAUGCAUAUUCUUUCUACUUAUGAACUACAAUCUGGCCAAAAGAUAAACAAAGGCAAAAGUUUGUUUUAUGUACAUAAUAAAGUUGCAGGAAGUAUUGUUCAUGACGUUGAAGAUAUUAAUGGUUUUAUCAAAGGUAAGUUCCCUUUCAACUACCUGGGAUGUCCUAUAGGUCAUGCUAAGAAAAAGAAAGUUUAUUUUGCAGAAUUGGUGAAAAAAGUUCAUAACGUUUUGCAAUCUUGGAAAGGCAAACUUCUGUCUUUUGGUGGUAAAUAUGUCCUUAUCAAGAGUGUAUUGCAAAGCAUUCCUAUUUACCUUCUUACAGUUAUUUCUCCUCCUAAGUGUGUCUUACAUGAUCUCUAUAGAGUUUUUGCAAAAUUUCUAUGGAACUUCAAGGAAGUAAGUAGGAAUAAACACUGGGUAUCUUGGCUAGAUAUGUGCUUACCCAAAGAGGAAGGAGGGCUAGGAUUUAAGUCUUUCUUUGAUGUUUCAAAAGCCCUCUUUGCUAAGUUAUGGUGGAGUUUUAGAACUAAAAAAUCCUUGUGGUCUAAUUUCCUUUGGAACAAGUACUGUAAAAGGCAUAGACCUCAAGUGGUAGAUUGGAGAGGGGGGUCACAAACGUGGAAAUUAAUGUUGGAAGCUAGAGAUAUCGUUGACCAACAAAUUCGGUGGGAACCAAGAUGUGGUCAUUCUAGUGCUUGGUUUGACAAUUGGACUAAGUUGGGUGCCUUGUAUUUCUUGCUUCCCAUCAAUUACUCUUUCAAUUAUGAGGUGGAGGACAUUAAACAAUUGUUGAAAAACGGAUGCUGGAAUGUAGACUUGAUUAAUCAACUUUUCCCUAAAGACAUUUGCAUUCAUAUCCUGUCUAAAAUUGAUUAAAUGAUUGAAGAUGAAAGAUGGGAUCAUGCAUGGUGGAUGCCGAAUAACUCUGGCAAGUUCACUGUGAGCUCAUCCUGGGAAUUAAUCAGGCAUAGAGCUGACGAAAAGGAAUUAUAUAGGCUCUUGUGGGUCAAAGGAAUUCCUUUUAAAAUUAAUUUCUUCUUCUGGAGACUAUGCAAGCAAAGACUACCUGUUGGGGAGAUGAAUAGAAGUAUGGGUUUCUCUUACAAUGGAAUCUGCACCUGUUGCAAUGAUCAAGUAACAGAAACCUGGGACCAUUUGUUUGUUACUUGUCAAAAAUCUGCUAGAUUAUGGCAUGUUUUUUCUUCCUCUGCAGGUGUACCAGGUCCUUUUAUACAACUCAAAUAUACAAUAUACAGAUGGUGGAAUGCUAAAUGCAACACUAAGUUGAAACCUGUAUAUCAAGCUAUGCCAAUCUUCAUCCUUUGGCAGAUUUGGAAGGCAAGGAACACAGUAAAGAAUGGAGGCAAAUACUCUUAUUGGAGAAUGGAGAUGGAAGUUAAUACUAACAUCUCUCUAUUUGCUCGAAACAGAUACCCUUGGUUAAAUCAUAUGCCAACGUCAUGGCCUGAAAUAAUUCAGUUUUUGGAUCAGUAUAUGCCACCGAUUCAAGCUCAAGUCAUUACAUGGUCAGCUCCGAAACAAGGAGUAUAUAAGUGUAAUACUGAUGGCUCGUUCAAAAAGAAUUCUGGUACCAGCUCGUGUGCAUUCUGUAUUAGAAACUGGGAAGGUGAUUUAACUUAUGCAGAAUCAAGGAAACUGGAAGAAGAUAACAGUCUUAACGCUGAAGUCAUGGCUAUAAGAAUAGCUCUAAAACACUGCUUCAAUAAUCAAUUCACCCCAUUGAUUAUUGAAACAGAUUCUCUGAUUGCAAAGAGAGUUGUACAAGGUGUGUGGGAGGUACCAUGGACUAUUUCAGUAGAGAUAAAGAAAAUAAGGAGGUUAAUGGCUAAUAUGAUGGUGGCAGUAACACAUAUAUUCAGAGAAGGAAACAUACUAGCAGAUUUUUUAUCUAACUAUGUUCACUGUUUUGCAGGUACUAAGAAAUUAACAUUUAACUCUUUUCAGGAAUUACCAACACAGGCCAAGACAAUCCUUAAUAUGGAUAAAUCCCAGAUGCCAAACAUCAGAAUCAAGAAGUUCCAAAACAAGGAGUUCAACUGCUCAUCACCAACAUAAUACAUCAUUGUACAUCAAGUUUGAAGAUAAAGACGAACUACUAAGGAACAUUACGUCGAGGGUGUACUAUAGGUGAUCAAAUAACACUCUCCAUUCCAUCUUUUGGCAGUGGUACUAGUCUAUGACUCAUCCUGCUAGAGAAAAUGAAGAGUGUUCUUUGAUCAUUGAUAAAAAAACACUUGACCACACCUGUAAUCACUCAAUCUCCUUUCUGGGUGCUGCAAACUCCUGUAGAGGAUUUCGACAUUUGUUGUUGGCUGUGAAGUUUCAAACCAAGGAAUUCAUCGACCUACGGUUGUAUAUAUGAGGAAUUGAAGAUGUCUUCAUGGAUUAGAUUGACUUGGCAUUCGUGAGAGUUUUUGAAUGCCCUACGAGCAAUCAACCCAAAUUCCUCAAAAAAGAAUUGCUGGUAGAAGAAUGAUUUGAUUGGGUGCUCUACAAGCCAACUCCAUCGUCCUCAGUACACUGAUAUCAACUAGAGCGUCCUGCGAUGAAUAGCGAAAAGAGGAAUUUUGUUUGCUUAGCUUUGGUUUUUCUUUUGUCUUUUUUCGUAUUUUGCUUUGCUGUUUUUCUUUUUUUGUAUUUUCUUUUCUUCUCAACUUCCCCAGUGAUUGAUCCACUUCUGUUAUUGUUUCACUUUUUAAAGAAAUAAAAUACUUUUAAUUCAAAAAAAAAAAAAUGGAUCCUUACCUUCCAUGGACCCCAAGAAUCCUUUUUCAAUAUACAAGAUUUAUGAUUUAUGAAUUCCAUGUUUGAAUUAGAUUGAAUUCAUGUUCAUGGUAUUGUUUGACUUUUAAUCCAUGAUUUAGAUUACUAGUUCCAAAAAUUGAUUCUAG
rnacentral:lncRNA from 1 species